rnacentral:lncRNA from 13 species
CACAGCUGCUGCACCGGGCUCUGGUGUCGUGCUGGGGGCCCUUGUGGGUCCUCCAAACCUGUUUACUCUGCUCCGAGAGCUGCUGCGCCGAGGUGCCAGUGGAACAGCUGCGCUGGCCACGAGAGUCACGCUGGCCGCCACCCGUGUGUUUCCUCCACUGGGGGAUCUUCUGCUCCGUGAGUAACCAGAAUUUGUCGGAAAGUGUGGCGUCCUCUAGUUCCCCGCGCCUUCCCUGAGAGCUGCAAUCCCGGGAUGUUAGUGAUCGGCCAUCUUGGAUCCAGGACAUGGACAUACACAGAGGAAAAGCCACGUGAGGACACAGGGAGAAGAGGGCUAUCUGCAAGCCAAGGAGAGAGGCCUCAGGAGAAAACCCUGUGUGCACCUUAAUCUCAGACCUCCAGCCUCCAAGACUUAAGAAGCACUCUCAAGAACACCUAUAGCAGAAGCAUCAGCAGUCCCCAUAACCAUGAUUGCUAUGACAACCACAGCCAGC